rnacentral:rRNA from 1 species
GCGUGAGGGCCAACCAGUAUGGGACACCCUGGGAGUCCACGGGUGAAACGAUUAGGGCUAGGUGUCGGGCGUUACCCCGUGCGGGGCCGCGGCUAACGCCAGAAGUCUGCGGCGUGGGAAGUACGCUCGCAAGGGGGAAUCUCAAAGGAAUUGACGGGGACCCGAACAGGUAGCGGGGCAUGGGGUAUAAUUCGAAGCAACGCGAAGGGCCUGACCAAAGCUUGACUUCCCAAGGACAUCUCCUUAAUCGGAGAGUUCCCUUCGGGGACAUUGGUGACCGGUGGUGCAUGGUGGUCGUCAGCUCGUGUCGUGAGAUGUUGGGUUAAGUCCCGCAAC